CAAAAGAACUUUGUUCUAACCCUUUGUGAACAUAUCUGUUGCCUCGGUGGAUGUCUCUGAUCUUCUUAGACUCUGAUUAUCCACCGAAGGACCCCCAAACUAUUUUUGAUAUAAAGCCAUUCUGAAUUCCAAUUUAAAGAAUCA
rnacentral:misc_RNA from 1 species